AGAUUGAACGCUGGCGGCAUGCCUUACACAUGCAAGUCGAACGGCAGCACGGGAGCAAUCCUGGUGGCGAGUGGCGAACGGGUGAGUAAUACAUCGGAACGUGCCCAAUCGUGGGGGAUAACGCAGCGAAAGCUGUGCUAAUACCGCAUAAGAUCUACGGAUGAAAGCAGGGGAUCGCAAGACCUUGCGCGAAUGGAGCGGCCGAUGGCAGAUUAGGUAGUUGGUGAGGUAAAGGCUCACCAAGCCUUCGAUCUGUAGCUGGUCUGAGAGGACGACCAGCCACACUGGGACUGAGACACGGCCCAGACUCCUACGGGAGGCAGCAGUGGGGAAUUUGGACAAUGGGCGAAAGCCUGAUCCAGCCAUGCCGCGUGCAGGAUGAA
rnacentral:rRNA from 1 species